UUCUCCCUUCUGAUGAACCAUGAUGUCAUUAAUUUGGUGUCGUGGGGAGUCAGGACUGUUACUUUGAAAAAAUUAGAGUGUUUAAAGCAGGCAAACGCUUGAAUACAUUAGCAUGGAAUAAUGAAAUAGGACGUUCGAACCUAUUUUGUUGGUUUCUAGGUACAACGUAAUGAUUAAUAGGGAUAGUUGGGGGCAUUAGUAUUCAAUUGUCAGAGGUGAAAUUCUUGGAUUUAUUGAAGACUAACUACUGCGAAAGCAUUUGCCAAGGAUGUUUUCAUUAAUCAAGAACGAAAGUUAGGAGAUCGAAGACGAUCAGAUACCGUCGUAGUCUUAACCAUAAACUAUGCCGACUAGGGAUCGGAUGAAGUUAAUUUUUUAAUGACUCAUUCGGC
rnacentral:rRNA from 1 species